UAUUUUGUUUACAAAAAGGUUUUGAAAUCCUUUCUAGAGAACUAAAUUUCUCAACAGUUA
rnacentral:tRNA from 1 species